UCCCCAGUGGCUCAGUGGUAGAGAAUCUGCCUGCAAUGCAGGAGACACAGGCUCAAUCCCUGGGGUG
rnacentral:tRNA from 1 species